CACCUCUAGCAUAUAAAGUAUUAGAGGCACCGCCUGCCCAGUGACUUACGUUAAACGGCCGCGGUAUCCUGACCGUGCAAAGGUAGCAUAAUCACUUGUUUCUUAAUUAGGGACUAGUAUGAAUGGCAUCACGAGGGCUUAACUGUCUCUUACAGCUAAUCAAUGAAAUUGACCUUUCCGUGAAGAGGCGGAAAUACAAUAAUAAGACGAGAAGACCCUAUGGAGCUUUAACUUUUCCCCUACAACCAGAUACAAACAAACCCACAGGUAUAAACUUAACUGGAUUCUAGGGGUGAGGUUUUGGUUGGGGUGACCUCGGAGAAUAAAAUAUCCUCCGAAAGACUGAAAUUUAGACCAACAAGUCAAAAUUAAAUUACGUCAAGACUGAUCCAGAAGUCUUCUGAUCAAUGGACCAAGUUACCCUAGGGAUAACAGCGCAAUCUCACUUGAGAGUCCAUAUCGAUAGUGAGGUUUACGACCUCGAUGUUGGAUCAGGACAUCCUAAUGGUGCAGAAGCUAUUAAGGGUUCGUUUGUUCAACGAUUAAAGUCCU
rnacentral:rRNA from 1 species